AACGCNGGCCUCAGGCCUAACGAGAAAAAAUCGAGCGCCGUACCAAUACGGAGCGGCAGACGGGAUUUUCCCCCGUGGGAACGCGCCCUUCGGUUCGGGAUAACCCAGGGAAACUUGGGCUAAUACCGGAUACGCCCUUCGGGGGAAAGAUUCAUUGCCGAAAGAUCGGCCCGCGUCUGAUUAGCUAGUUGGUGAAGUAAAGGCUCACCAAGGCGACGAUCAGUAGCUGGUCUGAGAGGAUGAUCAGCCACAUUGGGACUGAGACACGGCCCAAACUCCUACGGGAGGCAGCAGUGGG
rnacentral:rRNA from 1 species